rnacentral:rRNA from 1 species
CCUACGGGGGGCAGCAGUGAGGAAUAUUGGUCAAUGGGCGGAAGCCUGAACCAGCCAAGUAGCGUGCGGGAUGAAGGCCCUACGGGUCGUAAACCGCUUUUGCACGGGGAUAACACCCUCCACUUGUGUAGGGCUUUGCAUGUACCGUAUGAAUAAGGACCGGCUAAUUCCGUGCCAGCAGCCGCGGUAAUACGGAAGGUCCGGGCGUUAUCCGGAUUUAUUGGGUUUAAAGGGAGCGUAGGCCGCAUGUCAAGCGUGCUGUGAAAUGUCCGGGCUCAACCCGGGCCUUGCAGCGCGAACUGGCGUGCUUGAGUCCGCGGAAAGCAGGCGGAAUUCGUCGUGUAGCGGUGAAAUGCUUAGAUAUGACGAAGAACCCCGAUUGCGAAGGCAGCUUGCUGCAGCGGAACUGACGCUGAUGCUCGAAAGCGCGGGUAUCGAACAGGAUUAGAUACCCCUGUAGUC